rnacentral:rRNA from 1 species
CAGUCGACGGGCACUUCGGUGCUAGUGGCAGACGGGUGAGUAACACGUGGGAACGUACCUUUCGGUUCGGAAUAAUCCAGGGAAACUUGGACUAAUACCGGAUACGCCCUUCGGGGGAAAGAUUUAUCGCCGAUAGAUCGGCCCGCGUCUGAUUAGCUAGUUGGUGAGGUAAUGGCUCACCAAGGCGACGAUCAGUAGCUGGUCUGAGAGGAUGAUCAGCCACAUUGGGACUGAGACACGGCCCAAACUCCUACGGGAGGCAGCAGUGGGGAAUAUUGGACAAUGGGCGAAAGCCUGAUCCAGCCAUGCCGCGUGAGUGAUGAAGGCCUUAGGGUUGUAAAGCUCUUUUGUCCGGGAAGAUAAUGACUGUACCGGAAGAAUAAGCCCCGGCUAACUUCGUGCCAGCAGCCGCGGUAAUACGAAGGGGGCUAGCGUUGCUCGGAAUCACUGGGCGUAAAGGGCGCGUAGGCGGACUCUUAAGUCGGGGGUGAAAGCCCAGGGCUCAACCCUGGAAUUGCCUUCGAUACUGAGAGUCUUGAGUUCGGAAGAGGUUGGUGGAACUGCGAGUGUAGAGGUGAAAUUCGUAGAUAUUCGCAAGAACACCAGUGGCGAAGGCGGCCAACUGGUCCGAUACUGACGCUGAGGCGCGAAAGCGUGGGGAGCAAACAGGAUUAGAUACCCUGGUAGUCCACGCCGUAAACGA